GGGAGCACAGGUUCCUGGGCUGUGUCCCCGGUGCCUUGGGAUCCAGGGUCUGCACUGCUGGAGUCACGCUCCCAGGCCACAGCUCCC
rnacentral:pre_miRNA from 1 species